CGCGCAGUUGAAGCCGGUGCGCGAGGUGUGCAGUGCGGUUUCGCAAGUGCAGCGUGCGCAAAAGCGCGCUUUCGGUUUGCACAGUCACAGCAACGUGAACGUCAGCCUGCGCAAUGCAAUAACACUGGAGGGCACCUGAGAAAUCCUCACCGGAGAGCUCUGGACACCGUCUGCCGCCGCCGUAUCUCCAAAUUCAAACUACGUGCCAAAACAUGCACACUGGCGUGGUCAUCCUGCACAGCAUCUUGUACGAAGCGAUCCAGAGUGAUCUGCUUUUGGAUGACAGACAGGACCAGCCGGCAGCUGACUACCGUCGACAACACUUUGCGAGGCUGUUGCGAGGUCAAAUGAAAACUGACGCUUGCCAUUUAAAUCUCUUCCCUACGUCUGAAAUGUACAACGACAAGCAUAUGGUGCAAUUCCUGGAUCAUGCUUAUGAUGUGCUGGACACUAAGGAGAAGGCCAUUACAUAAGGGUUGGCUGACGAUGCGAAUGACCUACAUCGGAUGGGAGCGAUGUCGUCGCGUUGGCAUGCGAUGAACGUGUGGUGGUGCCAAAUGAUCACAUUGAAGAUAGUGAUACCUACGUUUCUUAAGCAAACAAGUAAAGAUUCAAUAAUGGGAACAUGCAGCCCUAUUCCCCUUCCCUUCGUUCCUUGUUAUAUUGGUUGUGUGGUCUUAAGCGCCAUGCUUUCUAUAACGCACUUUCAAUAUUUCUAAGAUGGAAUCGCCGAUGAAAUGUUUGUAGGGCUUUAGUUCUUGCACUGGAAAACUGCAGCAAGAAACAAGAGUCCACUGCCAGCUGUUCUGUACACCUUUAACUACACCUUGUUGACUUCGUGAGCUGCCUUUCCACCAGAUGCUAAACAAAAUUUCAACUAUAAGGUAUACACUGCACGAUUAUAUAGGCAAAAGCCGAUCACCUUCUUUGUAUCACCUCCAUAAAAUGUAUGUGCACUCAAAGCUGCAAGGAAAGACAAAAUAUCAAUUUUCUGCAUCAUUGCCCUCUGCCGAUGACAGAACCCGCUAAGUUUGUAAGUCAGCGCUUUGGUCCUGUCAGUAAGGCUAAACAUACCAACUUUUUUUGUGAUCAUAAAAAAAUAUGUACGUUGAGUCUUUACUCACACAGAACACCUCAACAUGCAGGGAAACACUCGUGGGCCUCAAAUGUAAUUCCUACGAAAUCUGGCGGCACAGAAGAUACUCGAACACUGAAAGCUACCACCUGCAUGGGAUGUUCGUUACAGUCACAAAAACUACUUAUAUUGUUUUCAUCGUGCCUGUAACACUCUGUUUAUCGCUGAAGACACUGUAGGCUACAGAUAACAUGAGAAAAUAAAGGAAUUUCAGUGCUUACAAUAUUGUUGUGACAUGGAAAAAUGGAAUGAUAAUUUUAUAGAAUGCCAUU
rnacentral:lncRNA from 1 species